rnacentral:rRNA from 1 species
GACGAACGCUGGCGGCGUGCUUAACACAUGCAAGUCGAACGGUGAAGGGGAGCUUGCUCCCCGGAUCAGUGGCGAACGGGUGAGUAACACGUGGGCAACCUGCCCCAGACUUCGGGAUAACGCUUCGAAAGAGGUGCUAAUACCGGAUACGAACUCCUUGGGCAUCCUUGGGGUUGGAAAGUUUUUCGGUCUGGGAUGGGCCCGCGGCCUAUCAGCUUGUUGGUGAGGUAACGGCUCACCAAGGCGACGACGGGUAGCCGGCCUGCGAGGGCGACCGGCCAGACUGGGACUGAGACACGGCCCAGACUCCUACGGGAGGCAGGAGUGGGGAAUAUUGCGCAAUGGGCGAAAGCCUGACGCAGCAACGCCGCGUGAGGGAUGACGGCCUUCGGGUUGUAAACCUCUUUCAGCAGGGAAGAAGCGAAAGUGACGGUACCUGCAGAAGAAGCACCGGCUAACUACGUGCCAGCAGCCGCGGUAAGAC